GUGGCAUGAUGAACGUGUUUAUCCAUUCGCUGAGCGCUGCUGCUUCUGUCCCUUUGUGGCUUUGCGGUCCGUUUUGGUCUGUAUGGUUACAGCUGCCUGGUUUCUCUCGGCUGGGCCAAUGUUCUAUUGGGUCAGCCGUUGUGGGGUCAGAUGUGCUGGUACAAGGGGUCAGAGUGGCCCUGACAAAGACGAAUUGACACUUCUGAUCAC